UACGUAGGGGGCUAGCGUUGUCCGGAAUCAUUGGGCGUAAAGCGCGUGUAGGCGGCUCGGUAAGUCCGCUCUGAAAGCCCGGGGCUCAACCCCGGGAGGCGGGUGGAUACUGCCGGGCUAGAGUCCGGAAGAGGACGAGUGGAAUUCCUGGUGUAGCGGUGAAAUGCGCAGAUAUCAGGAGGAACACCAAUUGCGAAGGCAGCUCGCUGGGACGGUACUGACGCUGAGACGCGAAAGCGUGGGGAGCGAACAGG
rnacentral:rRNA from 1 species